GGUUAAGCGACUAAGCGUACACGGUGGAUGCCCUGGCAGUCAGAGGCGAUGAAGGGCGUGCUAAUCUGCGAUAAGCGCCGGUAAGGUGAUAUGAACCGUUAUAACCGACGAUACCCGAAUGGGGAAACCCAGUGUGACUCGUCACACUAUCAUUAACUGAAUCCAUAGGUUAAUGAGGCGAACCGGGGGAACUGAAACAUCUAAGUACCCCGAGGAAAAGAAAUCAACCGAGAUUCCCCCAGUAGCGGCGAGCGAACGGGGAGGAGCCCAGAGCCUGAAUCAGCAUGUGUGUUAGUGGAAGCGUCUGGAAAGGCGCGCGAUACAGGGUGACAGCCCCGUACACAAAAGCGCAUGUGCUGUGAGCUCGAUGAGUAGGGCGGGACACGUGGUAUCCUGUCUGAAUAUGGGGGGACCAUCCUCCAAGGCUAAAUACUCCUGACUGACCGAUAGUGAACCAGUACCGUGAGGGAAAGGCGAAAAGAACCCCGGCGAGGGGAGUGAAAAAGAACCUGAAACCGUGUACGUACAAGCAGUGGGAGCACAGGUUUACCUGUGUGACUGCGUACCUUUUGUAUAAUGGGUCAGCGACUUAUAUUCUGUAGCAAGGUUAACCGAAUAGGGGAGCCGCAGGGAAACCGAGUCUUAAU
rnacentral:rRNA from 1 species